rnacentral:tRNA from 1 species
GCGGACGUGGCGGAAUUGGCAGACGCGCAGGACUUAGAAUCCUGUCCUGAAGAGGGGUGGGAGUUCAACUCUCCCCGUCCGCA